AAGAAUUUAGUUUAAUAAAAACAUAAAAUUGUCAUAUUUAAGAUACUUAAAAGUAAUUUUU
rnacentral:tRNA from 1 species